rnacentral:lncRNA from 1 species
UGGGAAUUUUCCCUUUCCACAUUGAUAAAUGCCUUUCUGUGUUUCUGAAUCAGAAGCAAAUGAUUAAGGAGAAAUAUAUGUCCAACAAGACAAGAUCAGUUUAAAUGUUUAAAUGGCUAAGAACAUUUAGUCCACAUUGUCUUGUCAGCCAGCAAUUGUCAUGUAAACUAUCAUUUUUAAGAGUGCCACUGUGUGGAUUUUUUUUUCAAGUGGUUAUUACAUUAAAAUUACCUCAUACUGAGGUUUUUGCACUGAAAUAUCACAGUUUCAGAUUUCAUGGUUAAUGUUGUGUGUGUGUGUUUUUAAAGGAAACUUGCAUUUUCAAUAGUUGAUCCUAAAUUCAUAAACUGCACUUCUUUACUCUGGUAAAAGUGUUUUUGUGCUUAUUGUGAAUUGCUGUAGUUAACUUUGAAUGUCAAACUUUAUUUAGAAAUACAAAAUUUACCCUGUAAGAUAUAAAUGGCUGAGUGUGUGUACCCAAUAUUACAAAUUAAAUUUCAAAUUCUAAAUUAAUGAAAGUAACAAGAUUGUAAUUAACCUAAAAGUCAGUUGAGUAAAUGCAAUAAAUAUUGGUUGCUCAAAUGUGCCAGAAGUAACUUGAAGUUUUGCAUUUACUUUCAAUAACUAAGAUUACUUAAUUAUAAAGAAAAAUUAAGACUUUCUUUCCAGUUAAGCACUACAGGUCAAAUCUUGUAGCUCACCCAAAAGAAGGAGGGGGAAAAAAAAAAAUUACUGUGUUCAGGGUAACAUAGAAAUGUGUGUUGGUAGUACCCCCUUUAGCAUACAGUCAUUUUCUGUGAUUGGGCUAAAUGCCAUCCUAAGGGCAAAGGAAACAACAUACAAAACAAAAGUCCUUUGAAAGUAAAUGAAAACCGUACUUUUGAGAGGCUGGUAUAAGUAUUUGACCUUGGAUUUAGCCUUUGUGUUACAGCUAAAAUGUUGGUGCUAUAAAAUCUUCUGAUUGUUUACAGAUGUUGAUUCUGCUUAUGCUCCAAAGUGUGCAUGGUGUAUUUUAAAUAGUACUUUAAAGAAAUAUCUCUUUAUAAAAACCUAUACUCUGAUUUAGUAUAAGUUUGUUUGGAUAUAUAAAUCUCAUUUGUUAUUGUAAAUUCAUCUUCAAAAUUAGGUUGGCGCAGGAUUUAAACUAAUAUGUAUUAAUAUCCACCAAAGCCAAUUUAACAUAUAAAUGUUAAAAUGUAAGCAUUCCUGUGGCUCGGAGCCAGAUUCUCUACAUAAUGACAAGAGAAGUCCAUGGAGCCUUCUAAUACCGUAUGGGUACUCUUGAAAAUGAUUUCAUUUGGAUAUAAAGUUAAGGGGCCUCCUGUCACAUUCACAACAGUAUUCUCCAAAACAAUUUGAUGUUUCAAAAACAAAUGAUCAUUUGCUUGGUUUCUUCAGGAUUAUGACUAGAUCAAGUGGUUUAUACGGUAGUUGCCAAGUGGUGGGAGGUGGCUUACCUGAAAAUGUAUGUUUGUGUUUGUUGUAUUUUUUCACAUUUUGUGAACAAAGCAC